rnacentral:ribozyme from 1 species
AUGGCAGCGCGAAAAAAAAUAACAGAAAGAAAAAAGGAAACAAAAUAUAUCACAUAUCAUAAAUCUGUUGAAUCACCCCUUACCAAUCGUUCCAUCUGAUUUUUUUUUGUGCGUGUUAAUGGAGCUCAUGCCGAGGCAUCUGAACAUAGUGGAUGGGGAAAGUUGUAUGAUGAUAAUAAUAUCAAGAAAAAAAAAAA